CUACUGCUCUGAACCUUUCCUGUCGGAUCCUCAGCACACAGAUGGCCUGAGGAAUAAGAGAGUGAACCAAAAUGUUAAUCCAACCCCUUUCAAACAGAGAGGGCUCUCUGUUACACGUGCAUCCAAACUUUACAUACUUGGCCUAGCUUUACUCUUUGCUAAGCUGCUAAAACAUCAAGUUUUAUCUCUUUCUGUUGAAGUAGCAAAAGAGAGCCAUCGGAUGGAGGGCAGGGACCAAUGGAAAGCUGAGGCUUGGAAGGAGACUUUCUGAUGGAUAUUGUUUACAGCUUUCAGUGCAGUUUGGUUUCAUCUCACUGGAGCAGGAAACAACCUCUGAGAUAAAUAUCUCCUCACUGCUGUCCUGGCAACACGGUGACAGCACCAGAGCACUGAAUAGAGGCCCAGGGAAAGGUAAUCUGCUUCUCACCAGGGUGCUUGUCAAGUUUGAGAAACUGACACACACGGAACAGACCUGAAGCAUCAGCCUGGCUCAAGGUCACGUUGCAAGAACCUUCAUCCUUCAACAAAUCAAAUGGUAAAGAUCUACCACCAGCAGGAAAAUCCCCCUUUACAGGCUGGCAGCCAAAGGAGAGAAUCUGGUGUUUCCACUGCAAAGCAUGAAGGAGCACAGAACUCUGUAGGGACUAUCCCUUUUGGCACAGGGAAAAAGGCGCUGGCCCUGUCAGAAUCUUUGAUGUAAGAAAAUCAUAGGAAAGACUCAUUUAACCCUUCCUCUUUAUGAAACAGCAGUAAAAGAAAA